rnacentral:lncRNA from 1 species
UCAUUUUAAAUAAAAGAAAAUGUACGCCUACCACACUGCACCUUGGUCUCACUCCAACAACGGACGUAACACAGACAGAACACUGAUACAAUACACGCAUUCAGACAGAACACUGAUACAAUACACACAUUCAGAUACAAUACACACAUUGACAGAACACUGAUACAAUACACACACACAUUCAGACAGAACACUGAUACAAUACACACAUUCAGAUACAAUACACACAUUGACAGAACACUGAUACAAUACACACAUUCAGACAGAACAUCCGAACAAUGAAGAAUGUCCUCAUCCGAUUCAUACACUCCUUUCCCUCGACCUCUUCCUUUCUGUUAAGUAUUUUGGUAUUUGUUUCAUUAGUCCAUUGUUGAUGUCAACACAAAAUGUUUUGCAUGUCAGCAAUGAAGUUUUCAAUACAUGUAACUUUCAAUAUACAGAUAUAUAGCCAGUAUGAUAUAUUUUCCCCCGUAUGGCGUCAGUCCUUAGAUACUGAAUGUAUGUAUAUAGGUUAGAGUCUGUAAACCAUGGUCUGUUACCUCCCUCCCUAAAAGAAGUAACCCUUAUUGGAGCGGUGGUUAGCAGUGGGUAGCUACAAUACUGUACUAUGGGUCACGGUUAGAAAUGUGAUUAAUUGGACUAGACUCAGUAUGUCACACAGGAAUGUUCUAAUUCUGUUGUAACUAAUGAACGGGUUGGUGAAAUGACUUCAUUCUGUUGUAACUAAUGAACAGGUUGGUGAAAUGACUUCAUUCUGUUGUAACUAAUGAACAGGUUGGUGAAAUGACUUCAUUCUGUUGUAACUAAUGAACAGGUUGGUGAAAUGACUUCAUUCUGUUGUAACUAAUGAAUGGGUUGGUGAAAUGACUUCAUUCUGUUGUAACUAAUGAACAGGUUGGUGAAAUGACUUCAUUCUGUUGUAACUAAUGAACAGGUUGGUGAAAUGACUUCAUUCUGUUGUAACUAAUGAACAGGUUGGUGAAAUGACUUCAUUCUGUUGUAACUAAUGAAAGUACCUGUUUUUCAGUUCUGAGGGUCAUGUUUGAAAACG